AAAAAUCAAACCCAGCCGCCUGGCUGUUGGGUUAUCAAUGGGGAAUAAGUUGGAAAUAGAAAAAACAAUUAUUACCUAAUAUCCUAGGAAUUCUAAGCAAAACCUUUAAUGUUUUUUUAAAAAAUCUAUUCUGUUUAAAAUGAAAUAAAAAAAGAAAAAUUGGAACAGUAGCAGACUCGUUCUCUCCCUCACUCUCUCCCCAAUCUCACAAACUCACUCUCUCAGACAAACG
rnacentral:lncRNA from 1 species